rnacentral:rRNA from 1 species
AUGCCGGUCGCCCUGCCGCCACCGCCGGAGGAGAAGGAGCAGCAGCAGCAGCAGCAGCCGGCGGCCGAUGCGAUCCAGCUCCAGCCUCUCGAAUCGGGUCCGUUUGCUUCUUUGUAUCUCCUACGCGCCUCGCGCCUGUCCGGGGUUGUGCCCAACCAGGCCCGCCGGGUGAAGGGAAUCGAGCGCCGGCCCUACAACGAGGGGGAGACGCACGCUGCGAGCCCUCAUGACCGCGCCGCGACCCCGACCGGCGGCGGGGUUCUUUCGAGCUUGCUGGCAUCUGCUGCAAAUGCCCAGGGGGCGGUGCUGCGAGCUCACCAUCGUCCUCCGAGCUCACUGUCGGGAGGGGGGAGGGGAGGAUCUGGGUCAGGCGGUCAAGGAAAACCGGGAGAAGACUUCACAAGGUCAAAUUUCAUCUCAGGAUACGAACUUUCUGAACCAUGCUCAAAGAGUGUGUUUGAUUUUGACAUCUUCCACUUCUAUCUUCUGCCGGAUAACAAGCUUGAUUAUGUUGAUACUUCGUGCUGUUCUCGUAAUCUUAUCUGUGGAGAGAGCUAUUACCGUGUGUGUGUGGUUCACACUGUUCCUCUGGUGUUGAAGCUUCAGAAAGAUGAUCACACAGAUGCAUGUCCCGUAUUUUCAGAAAAUUUCCGGUGGGGAAGGCACCAAGACGCCCAUGAAUUCCUCCGCUGCUUGCUUGAUAAAUUAGAUGAGGCCUCUGUCCCUCCCAGGUCCCCAUCAUCUGAGAGACCCUCUUCAAUUGUCACACAGGUUUUUGGAGGACAGCUAAAAAGCCAGUUGCAUUGCCCAGAGUGCAACUAUUGCUCAGACAGAUUGGAGCCUUUCCUUGACCUUAACUUGGAGGUCAUCCCGAUGGCCACUGUCAUGGAUGCACUAAAAUCUUUUACCAAGAUUGAGGUGUUUGAGAAUUACGGUUGUGAUGGGUGCAAAUCUCGUGUGAACAUGGAAAAACAAUUAAAGGUGGAGCAGGCUCCAGAAGUUCUUGUAAUCCAGCUCAAGCGGUUUCAAAAUUUUGGAAGUCAUAUAACUAAGAUUGAAGACUGCAUGAUGUAUCAGGAAGAGCUGGACUUAAACCCAUUCAUGAGCUCCCCGGAUAAUAAACCUCAGAAAUAUGAUUUGUAUGGAGUUGUACAACACGAGGGUGCUCCAUCAAAUGGUCACUAUGUUUGUUAUAUCCGUUCGUCACGAACUAAUUGGUUUCACUUCAAUGAUUCUAAGGUUAUGAAAAUCAAUGAUGUCAUGGCUUUGGAGAGUGAAGCAUACCUUCUAUUCUAUGCAAAGCAAGGUUCAUCCCCGUGGUUCUCUACCUUACUUAAGAGAAAAAACAACGUUUCCGGUGACACUGAGGAGGGUGGUUACAGUAGCAGUAGCAGUGAAGAUGACUAUUAUCCUGAAGGCCUGUCUUGGCAUAAUGAUGGCGACAAAACCAGAUCGGCGACGAAAGAAGAAACAGAUCUGCAGCUUAGACAAAUAAUAUCUAUGCAAAAAGAGAAGUGCGGCGAGAGAGAGAUUGAAGAAAAAGCGAAGGCAGAAGGAGACAGCAGCAUCCAAACUACUUGUCCUGAAAGCUUGUCUUGGCGUAAGGAAGCUGAUGUCAAGGGCUCUGAUGAUUCUCCAGCUGGACCAUUGCUCGGACCAGCAGGCUCUCACUCUGACAACAUUGCUAAGGGCAAGCGCACUUAUAAGGCUAUUGUUCAAGAGGAAACGACGCCAGACGAGCUUUUGCAGCAUUUGAAAGAGAUGGUGCCUAGCAUAUUUGCCAAAGCUUUGGAAGGCAUGCAUACGUCUCUUGCACUUUCAGAGGCUUUGAAGAGAGAGCAUGUUGUGGAAAUGCAUAAUGAUGAUGACGACAAAACCCGAUCAGUGAGGAAGCGUAAGUGGGAGUGGGACAAUAACCUCAAAGUGGUGGAAGAAGAAGAAGAAGAAGAAGAAGAAGAUGAUGAUGAUGAUGAUGUUGAAGAAGAACCGUACUACUAUGUCUACUCGGACUAA